rnacentral:lncRNA from 1 species
AUAAAGUUCAUGUGAUUACGAAUCUAACGCAAUUUGAAUGGGUCAAAUCGGAGUUAAAACAAAUAUUUUAUAAGCUAAACAAUGCAGUGGCAGAACUGUAAAUACUGCAAAGUAUAAGCGAAUUAAAAUAAAUACAGAAAAUUCAGGAAAUCCACCGGCCAGGGACUGCGGGCAUGAUUAACUGAAAGCCGCGGGUCUCUUUAGCAAAAAGACCCGCGAAGGGGUAUGAAUUGAUUCUGGCCAUCGAUCCCGCGAUGGAUGGCCAGGAUUAGAUCAGGGGGAAGAGGGGGAGGCGCCGCUGGCCGGAACAGGGCUCUCACGACGGCGCGCCAUGGUCGGCGUUGAAGAGCUCGCCGGCGUUUGGCGAUAUGGCGCUGUGGUGCUUGGUUUUCAAAUCUGAGAGGACCGGGAGAGAGAGAAUGGCAAGGCGAACACGCCAGGACCCUAAGCACGGCCGGGGAAGGCAAUCUCCGCGGCGGUUCGCGACGGUGCCAAGACCCGCUCGCCGGAGCUUGAAGAAACGGACCUACGAUGCACCAUAAGGCUCGGGAAGUGGACGGGGAGAGAGCGGAGAUGAAGGCGAGUUCACCGCGGCGAAGAACGUGGGCGGAGGCGGCUCGAAUCGACGGUGAGGUGCGCGGUGAAUCUCGGCGGCUUCGGUGGUGUUCUCCGUGCGCUUGAGCGAGAACAAAGGCAGGGGGAGAGAGCAGAAUGGGCGCGGCAGGUGACACGCCUUGGUUAAUAAAAUAUUUAAAAAAAACAUAAAAUAUUUAAAAAAACAUAAAAUAAUUUGUGCCUACUUUAACCUCUGCCCCGUGUGCUAUGCACCAGAUACAUGCAAAAACAUAAUAAAAUUAUUUGGUUUUAACGAAUCAACUUUUGGGUUUGAUUCUUUUCACAAUCAAAAUUUUAAUUUUCUUUGCACUAAAUAUAUGAUAGUAAGCUUAUUAUUUUGGACUAACUAAAGUAUGUCAAAUUUAAAAACAUACAUUGUGACGGUCCAAAAAAACCGUCACGACUUAGUGGGCCGGGAAUAUCCACUCCUGUACAUCUAUGACAGAAAAAAAAUUAUCGUCACAGAUUGCAUCUGUCAGUGACGGUUUGUAAAUCCGUCAUCUAAAAUCCGUCACAGAUUAACAAGUUUCUUGUAGUGC